AUCAAGACCACGAAAACAAUCGCGGUGACUGCGAAGGACUCGCUCACUCAUCGGUGAGACUGAGAGAAUAAUUUCUUCAAGAAACACAAGCAGGAGCAGAUGGGAUGAAAUGGACAAGUUCUGAAGGAGACAACAUUUUAGGGCCCUCACGAUGGGGAAGGGGGCCAAGGAAAAUGGGAGAGAUGCUGACUGUCACCACAAUGCACACGAAUCAGAAUGUGCCCCUGGCGAGGAAUGGGGGCAAAGUCAACAGGAAUUAAAUUUCCGUGCAACUGUUUACUCAACUGUGGCCUGCAGUUAUUGAAAUUUUAUCCGUGGUUUUGUGUGACUCCCGCAGUAAUGAAUUCAGCAUGGCUGUGAUGGUCUCACCGCUGGUACUCUCACUUCAAGUAAAAACCUGGAGGAUAAAAAUGACGAAAACAACCCGAGAACAUCAUGUUGACACUCAGAUCUCCCCAAAUGGUUUAAUUGUUGCCUUUUCCAGGCUGGAAGAAGACGCAGACAACUCUCGUCCUGUGAACCUUUUGCAAUCCUGUGUAUUUUUCUUAUUUCAUCUACAGGUUUUGCUUUCCCCUCAAAUCCUGUUAAGAACCUUAUCGUCCAUGUAUGGGGGUCAAACAGCUGUCACUAUUUUAUUUUAUAAGAAGGGAGAGGUCUGCCAACCACAGUAUAUAGGGUUUUAGCCACAAGGAUAGCCCCAACUGCUUGCUUGCUUUCCAAAACAUAUCAAUGGAAAACAGAUAUAAAAUGCCUAAAAAAAUCUUAAAAAAGAAUUUCAAAAUAUAACCAAAAGCUACUGACCUUUGUAUCAAUAAGUCAUACAUUACUACACAUUUUCCGAAGCACACAUGGCCACGAUAAAGGGUGCAGACAUGAAUGACUAAUUUUGCUACUGAUGCUUUUUAGGGAAGAUACUAUUAAAAUGCACUUUUAUAACUUCCUUCUGGUGAGGCCACUUAUUGCAUUAGAAAUGUGUAUGUGUGUGCACACGCACACAUACAUGUGUAUUGAUGGUAUACCUGUACAGUUUUUGGCUGGCUUACUACUUUGAGAUUAUGAAUGAUUUUCAGUUCUUCAAA